rnacentral:rRNA from 1 species
AUUGAACGCUGGCGGCAGGCCUAACACAUGCAAGUCGAACGAGUGGCGGACGGGUGAGUAAUGUAUGGGAAUCUGCCUGAUGGAGGGGGAUAACUACUGGAAACGGUAGCUAAUACCGCAUACUAUCGGAUGUACCCAGAUGGGAUUAGCUAGUAGGUGGGGUAAGGGCUCACCUAGGCGACGAUCCCUAGCUGGUCUGAGAGGAUGACCAGCAAAAUUGGAACUGAGACACGGCCCAGACUCCUACGGGAGUCAGCAGUGGGGAAUAUUGCACAAUGGGCGCAAGCCUGAUGCAGCCAUGCCGCGUGUAUGAAGAAGGCCUUCGGGUUGUAAAGCACUUUCAGCGGGGAGGCGUUACUCGCAGAAGAAGCACCGGCUAACUCCGUGCCAGCCGCCGCGGUAAUAC